rnacentral:lncRNA from 1 species
GACUAGAUAACUGGAUGAGGGAUCUGCGUAAAGUAGUCAACCUCUGUAUUUGACCAGAUAACUGAAAGAGGGAUCCUUUUCAAUUAAGUGUUGUUUAGUUGUUUUUAGAUGAAAGAUAAAAACUAGAGUUAACAAAGAACAACACAAGAGAUUUAUACUGGUUCACCCAAACAAGGGCUAGUCUAGUCCCGACCAACUGUCGGAAUUCACUCGCCUAAAGGUUAUGGCAAAACCUUAGAGUAUCAAGGAAACUCUUAAGAACCUCUCUAAGCUUUAAAGCUACUUCGCUUAGGAACCAAUCUUUUACGGGUAGACUCACACCUUAGAGUAUCAAGGGCAGUCUUAAGAACCUCUAACUUUUGCGGGUAAGUUAGUACCUUAGAGUAUCAAGGAACUCUUAAAAACCUCUGAAAUCUUUAAAGGUAGACUCGACAUGAGAGUUUUCCCGGAAACUCUAUAAAACCAAACUAGAGCUUUAUGGUUGAGCUCAAAAACCUUCUCUCACACUUUGGUACUAUUGAGACAACCCUCUCAACCAAAGUAGACACACACAAGAGGUGAUUAGAGGAGUGGAAUAUUAAAGCAAACAACACUUCUUACUUAUAAAGAUGAACAAGAAGAUUAAAAGAAGAAGUUGGAGAGCUU